rnacentral:sRNA from 1 species
AUCUCUCUUGAGGAAUAGGUGGCUACCUUAAGGAUUGAUCUUUUUUGGCGUAGUGGUAAAACCUUCCUACAGGAUUGCAUGUUUUACAGGGAGUUCUAGCACGAUUGAACCGGGGAUCAAAUAACUAAAUAUCUUUUCUUCCCAGGGGGAAUCAAUUGAAUUUUUCUGAAAAAUGUAAAAAAAAAUAAAAAAUAAAAAUAAAGAAUAUAACAAUUCCAAUCCGGUCACUUCGAGUUCCUUUGUCAUUUCCACUCUUUCUCUCCUCCCCCAUUUUCAUUGUAUAACUUUUCUUUUUUGAAGGUCUGACUGAAUGUAGCCAGC